GCUCGGUUAGCUCAGCGGUAGAGCGCUACCUUGACAUGGUAGAUGUCACAAGUUCAAAUCUUGUACCGAGCACCA
rnacentral:tRNA from 1 species